rnacentral:piRNA from 1 species
UAACACAAGAUCAGCCUGAAUAGUCAGU